UACGUAGGUGGCAAGCGUUUGUCCGGAUUUAUUGGGUUUAAAGGGUGCGUAGGCGGUUCCAUAAGUCAGUGGUGAAAUACAAUAGCUUAACUAUUGAGGUGCCAUUGAUACUGCGGAACUUGAGUACAGACGAGGUAGGCGGAAUUGACGGUGUAGCGGUGAAAUGCUUAGAUAUCGUCAAGAACACCGAUAGCGAAGGCAGCUUACUAGACUGUAACUGACGCUGAGGCACGAAAGCGUGGGGGAUCAAAACAGG
rnacentral:rRNA from 1 species